rnacentral:misc_RNA from 1 species
UUUCCGUUGGUGAACCAGCGGAAGGAUCAUUACAGAGAUCAUGCCCUCUAAGGGUAGACCUCCCACCCUGUGUUAAUACUCUUGUUGCUUUGGCAGGCCGCCUUCGGGCUCUCGGCUCCGGCUGAGGUGCGCCUGCCAGAGGACCCCAACUCUGUGUUUAGUGUCGUCUGAGUACUAUAUAAUAAGUUAAAACUUUCAACAACGGAUCUCUUGGUUCUGGCAUCGAUGAGAACGCAGC